AACGAACGCUGGCGGCAGGCCUAACACAUGCAAGUCGAACGCUGUAGCAAUACAGAGUGGCAGACGGGUGAGUAACGCGUGGGAACCUUCCCAAUGGUACGGAAUAGCUCAGGGAAACUUGAGGUAAUACCGUAUAAGCCCCUAGGGGGAAAGAUUUAUCGCCAUUGGAUGGGCCCGCGUCGGAUUAGCUAGUUGGUAGGGUAAUGGCCUACCAAGGCAACGAUCCGUAGCUGGUUUGAGAGAAUGACCAGCCACACUGGGACUGAGACACGGCCCAGACUCCUACGGGAGGCAGCAGUGGGGAAUCUUGGACAAUGGGCGAAAGCCUGAUCCAGCCAAGCCGCGUGAGUGACGAAGGCCUUAGGGUUGUAAAGCUCUUUCGGGUGGGACGAUGAUGACGGUACCACCAGAAGAAGCCCCGGCUAACUUCGUGCCAGCAGCCGCCGUAACAC
rnacentral:rRNA from 1 species